CACAAGUUUUUCAAGACAAAGCUCUUUCUACCUGAGUAAAAUACUCUUUUCUCCAAGCAAGACACGGACAAAAAUACCAGAAUUAUUUAAAAUACUUUCAGUUCACACAUCAUUUCACCAGAACACCACAAGAAUUUGGAUGGAUGAACUCCCCAACCUCACACCACAACUCUUCUUCAGUCAAGAAAUUGCAAAACAAUUGGAAAAUGUAUCUGAAAUGGAGGAGACACCUGCCCAGAAACUAUUUUAAUCAGCCUGUUCCUGAAAGACUGUAUCCUGUAGAAAUGGACCAACACUGGAGCAAUUAGUGAAGAACUGCAGCCCAAAGGAAUAACCCACGUUGGAGGAGGCUGAGAAGGACAGUUUCCUAUAGGAUGGACCCCAUGACAGAGCAGGGGAAGAGCAUCAGGAGGGAGAAGCACCAGUGACAAAGUGCUGUGAAUAGUCUGUAACCCUUCAAGUUGAGUCUUGUAAGAUGUGUGUGUGGCAAAAAGUGGUUUUAGAUUUGCUCUAAUUUCUCCCCAUCCUAGUCUGAUAUUAAUUAGCAUUAAUUAAAAUCAAUUUCCCCAAGAUCAUCUUGUUUUUCCUAUCAUGGUAAAUGGUAAGAGAUCUCUCAACCCCUAUUCUGAUCCAAAACUCUCCCCUGUGUUUUAAUUAACUGAGCGGGGUGGAUGGUGAAGCACCUUGAUGGGUAUGUGCCACUCAGCCAAGCUCAACGCACUCCCCAUCAGGCAAAUUCAAUCACCAGAGAAACCAUGUCUUGAUCAAGCUUCCAGAAGAAACAAAUGGUAUGAAAGGCUGAACCCAUUUAAAAACAAAACUAUUGACAUGAAAAGUCUUAUAAAAUCAAGACUGUAAAAAAAAAAAAUACAAUUGAGUUAUGAGAUACAGAAAGGAGAGAGAGAAGCUGGACUGAAAAAGGAUCUGUUCUUUCCUAAAACAAUUUUUUUUCUACAUCAGGUGACAGCUGAUGCAGGAAAGAAAGAGCUUCAGGUUUGGGAGUUGGUCUUGUAUUUAUAGAAAGACUGGGGGCUUCAUUUAGCUCCAAAAGUCAAAACUUCCAUCUUUAUAUUACAGGAAGAUCUAGAGAAGGUGUGACCACACUAAGCUCCCAAUUACAUAAAUGCUUUUCAGGAGGGAACGUGGGGAAGCGAGUCAAACCUGAAAACUGUAAGCUCAGACUUGUUAACCUUCAUAGCUCCAGAAAUGAGAGUCCCUGCCGACAUUAAUGCUUCUAAAGAUGGAGCUGGCAGAAGGCUUUGCAAGAGCCUUUCCUUUGACUUUGAAGUGAAGCUGCUGAAGGUCAUGUCAGAGGUCCUUGUGCUGAUGGUUAACACUGUCAUUGGCCAGAGGAACCACCACACUGGGUGACACAAAUGGCUGGGAGUCACUCCUGCUCCUUUCUGCAUCUUCCUGCCCAGCAGUUCUAAGGCCAGACGAGCUCAGCCAAGUCAGGUGCUCAAAAUGCACUGCUACAAGUAAGGAAGAACAAAACUGCCCAAGUGAAACCAGACAGAGGCUACAGCUUUACAAGGAGAGGCAUUUGAUCCUGUUCAUUCUGUUCUUCUUGUCUUGUAACAUUUAUCUGCUUCACAAAAUCCUUGCCAGGGCCUCCCAUCUUCCUACCCAUGGCCUUGGCUGUGCCUGCUGCCAUCCAUCUCCCACAAGCAGCACAAAACACUCUUUUCAAAUUCUGUGGUCCAGUUAUAAAGCACCCAAACCAGAAAGAGCAGCAACACAGCAGGAAAACAAAUGAGCAGAAGUAUUGCAGACCAACAGAAACACAGAACUUCUGGAAAUGAAUACAUAGGCUACAACUGGCUUUGGUUGACGGGUGGUUUUUUUUGGUGGUGGUGGUGGCUUUGUUGUUAGUAUUUUUCUUUCCCUGAGACACAUCUGGGAUAUCCCAUCUGACUUUCUGCCUUCAGAGCUCAUGGCCUAAACCCACCACCACGCUUCCUGCUUGAUCCAUGUUUCUGUGGGUUCUGCCUGUCCAGUGGACAGGGAGACCAUCUCUCCUGUCACACAAUGCUUUGUGCAGCACUAAAGUUCUUGGAUUUCUACUCUACACACCAGUGUAGUGUAAAUAAUUACACCUGAAAGUAACAAGAUUCCUAUCCAAGCAUGAAGCUUAUUUGUUUAAAACAUAUAUUAAUGUAAUAGGACUUCCUUGGACUAGAAUUAAAACGUUUUCCUUUGCUCAAUUUCAUUUCCAUCCCAGAUUAUUUUAUUUCCACCUUUCUAGGAGACACUGCAUAGUUCCAGAACAUGUUAUUUCCUUAAGUGAACAAAAGCUUUGGUAAAACUGGUUGAUCUGUCCUACAGAGGAGAGUAAACUUGAAUAGUACAUUGACUCUUUGCUCACCUUGAAACCACCAUGAAUCACUCUUAUCACUAAAAGGAAUUGCAGCAUAUAUUUUUCACAUAUACCUAAGCUCUGUGUAAUCAUCUUGGAUGCUACCAGACCUUGCAAACAAAACACAAUACAGACAUUCUCAGUUAUAAAUUCUGACUUUAUGUGUUUUUGUAAAAUAUAAGUCUGUUCAGAUACUGAGUACUGCAAGCACAUAUUAUCAUCCAGACUCUGCAUUUCCUUUGCUGUACAACAAUUGGAAACCAUCAACAUCCAACAGAAGCCUGUUCCGUUCCUCCAAAAUGUGGAGAGGAGAGGGAAAAUUCGGAUUUGGGGGUGAUAAAAUGCUACUGGCUGAGAGGAACAUUGAACUCACUGUUAAGAGGCAUUAUGAAAUUGUAGUGGCAUAUCACAUCUUAUUUUGAAACCAGAAAGUAUUCAAGACUCAAUUAAAUGAAGCAAGAUCCCUAUAUUUGCAUUAAGAAACACUAGCAAUAAAAGAACCAGCUUAAAUGUCUGUUACUGUUACACUGGUAGUGUUUCCCUGUUCUUCCAUGUGGCCACUCAUUUCCGAUUAAAUCAUCCAAUAGAAUUUCUACUUUAUUUCCUAUGUUUUUCAGUAUGCAACACAUCAUGUGCACCACUAAGGGAAAGCUGUGGCUACAUGAAGCUUUUGUUAGGGCAAAGCAUCUUGAAUUUACAAAUAUGUGCAGCACAACCAUCUGUAACAAAACAAACAGCAACAAUCAUAUGUUCUUGCCAUAAUAUAGCCCACAAACAAGUUAUAAACUUAUUCCCUGAAUCAGUAACAACUAAUGAUUAAUAAUAUUUGACCCUCACUUUUCUGCCAUAGAGAUACGGACUUUUAAAUAUGCUAGCUUGUUGUUUUGUCAUUUUUCAUCCAAGUUACAUUUUACAUUUUAAACUGAAUUUCCUUAAUCACUUAAAGAGUAUAUUUCUACAAGAUUUAAUUACUUAUGUAUGACAUAUGUCUCUCAUCCUUGGACGAUUUAUCUUACCCAAGAAAACUAACUGCUAUUACAUAGGACUAGACAGAGGAUUCUGAUUCAGACAAGUAUUCAGCAGAUUAGUUAAGUUACAUGCAGUGAAACUGUUUCAACUGUAAGUAAGAAAUAAACAUUAUGAAAACAAACCAACAAAAAACCUCAAACCAACUAGAAUUCCAGGAAGAUGCAAAGCCUAGCAAGGCUUUGGAGAUAAGAGUGGUUAGAAUGAAGGACUAGGCAUCUUGGCCUGCAUUAGGAAAGCAUUUCCAGCAAGACAAGAACAUGGACAAUGUGAUUGCACAUCAGUCACUAAUCAUAGCAUAUGGGAAAAACAGAAUAACUGAUUUUUGAGACACUGGAUGCUUUUGUGUUCUUUGCACAUUGAUAUUCCACAAGUUUAUAUCACCCAUGUAGUUUUAAAGGUUCAACUCUGAAAAUGCUUUUUUUUUUUCCUGACAUCUUCUCAUGUGAUAACAUACAACAAAGUACAACAGAAAUUAGUACAUAUUCUAGCAAUCAGACAGCUUCAUCUUAGGAACCAUGCAAGGCACAGAAAACAUGGUCCUGGCCAGGACUAAAAUGGUAUUAACUCACUGUGUAUUCAAGUUUACCAAUUGUCAGUAUACUCUGAAUCAGAUCACGUACCUGUGAUACAAUAAUUACAUAAAGAAGAGAUGCAUCCAUAUGACACCAGAAAUGGCUUCAAGCAUCAGUACUUUACUUUUCUGCAGCACAACCUUUCACACUAUUCAUCUCAUGUGCAUUACAGCUGUGUGCCCUCUCUACCCUCCUGUGAUUGCUCAGUAUACCUCAGCAUUCCAAGUUUCAUUGCCUUCAAUACUGUUCAUCUGUCCUACAUAGUUGUAGCUCAUUGGGGAUGAGGCUCAGCAGCAGCCCCAUUCCCAACCCCCACAAACUGUGUGCCUACAUCCACAGAUAAAUUUGAUAGUUCUAUACAGCAGGAAACAAGUCAAUACAGGAAGCCAUGGGGUUAAUUAUCAUACUCUGCAGGCUGAAAAGCUCUAAACAGCAGUAUUUUGCAAAUAUCUAAAUUGCCAUUAAAAAAA